UAACAUGAUCAGCUUGGAUUCCAAGCUUGUUGGGUACCUUUCUUUGGACCAUUUUCGGAGCAAAAGCUACAGGAGAAACAUAGUGAAUUUGAAAUGGGUUUUCUUCCCCGUGGCCAAUAUGCAAUUCAAGCCAAGGAAGCAAGAUGAAAUUUGAAUAAGGCUGAGAUAUGUGUUUGAUGCUGACCUGCACCAACAGGUAUGUUUAGGGCCCUUUGUUUAGGCAUUUUCUGAAAUGAAUUAUUUCACUAGUGACAUUUGACACAGUCUUACUUCUUGUUUCUUUAGCGGUGAUUGUAUACUCUAAUCCACUAUAUUCUACAUGGACAGCAAUAGCCCCUCAUUUUCUGGAUAAGGAAAAUCAGUUGGGUGAUGGAUAAUACUCAUGUUAAAGCAUUGAUAAACCCAUAUUACUUCGACUUUGAGUCUUUAUUUAUUCCCUUUUAAUUUCUCUAACUGUGUAUGCCCUCAAUGUUUCUAUACAAUAAAACUUGCUUCUUGAUGAGUUUGAAGGCUUGAA